rnacentral:rRNA from 1 species
CCCUUUGAUACUCUGGGCGGCACGCGCGCUGCACUGGUUUAUAUAACGUGUAAUUUGGACGAUAGUCUGUAUAAAUCACUAAUAUAAAACCGUGAAUGGGAUAGUUUAUUGCAACUUACAAACUUUAACUAGGAAUCCCUUGUAGAAGUAGUGAAUUAUACUGCUUCGAAUACGUCCCUGCCGAUUGUACACACCGCCCGUCGUUUCUUCCGACUGGUACUCAUUGUGAAUUGCGAGGAGAUUCUGUCAAAUCGUUGUAAAUGCUGGGUAUUGGAGGAAGAAAAAGUCGUAACA